AGUCGAGCGGAUGAAGAGAGCUUGCUCUCUGAUUCAGCGGCGGACGGGUGAGUAAUGCCUAGGAAUCUGCCUGGUAGUGGGGGACAACGUCUCGAAAGGGACGCUAAUACCGCAUACGUCCUACGGGAGAAAGCAGGGGACCUUCGGGCCUUGCGCUAUCAGAUGAGCCUAGGUCGGAUUAGCUAGUUGGUGAGGUAAUGGCUCACCAAGGCGACGAUCCGUAACUGGUCUGAGAGGAUGAUCAGUCACACUGGAACUGAGACACGGUCCAGACUCCUACGGGAGGCAGCAGUGGGGAAUAUUGGACAAUGGGCGAAAGCCUGAUCCAGCCAUGCCGCGUGUGUGAAGAAGGUCUUCGGAUUGUAAAGCACUUUAAGUUGGGAGGAAGGGCAGUAAGCGAAUACCUUGCUGUUUUGACGUUACCGACAGAAUAAGCACCGGCUAACUCUGUGCCAGCAGCCGCGGUAAUACAGAGGGUGCAAGCGUUAAUCGGAAUUACUGGGCGUAAAGCGCGCGUAGGUGGUUUGUUAAGUUGAAUGUGAAAUCCCCGGGCUCAACCUGGGAACUGCAUCCAAAACUGGCAAGCUAGAGUAGGGCAGAGGGUGGUGGAAUUUCCUGUGUAGCGGUGAAAUGCGUAGAUAUAGGAAGGAACACCAGUGGCGAAGGCGACCACCUGGGCUCAUACUGACACUGAGGUGCGAGAGCGUGGGGAGCAAACAGGAUUAGAUACCCUGGUAGUCCACGCCGUAAACGAUGUCAACUAGCCGUUGGAAGCCUUGAGCUUUUAGUGGCGCAGCUAACGCAUUAAGUUGACCGCCUGGGGAGUACGGCCGCAAGGUUAAAACUCAAAUGAAUUGAC
rnacentral:rRNA from 1 species